rnacentral:rRNA from 1 species
UACAGAGGGUGCGAGCGUUAAUCGGAAUUACUGGGCGUAAAGCGUGCGUAGACGGCUAUCUAAGUCGGGUGUGAAAGCCCCGGGCUCAACCUGGGAAUUGCAUUCGAGACUGAAUAGCUAGGGUACGGUAGAGGGAAGCGGAAUUUCCGGUGUAGCGGUGAAAUGCGUAGAUAUCGGGAGGAACAUCAGUGGCGAAGGCGGCCUUCUGGUCCAGUACUGACACUCAAGUGCGAAAGCGUGGGGAGCAAACAGG